AUGUAUUUUUCAAGUUUUCAAGUUCAAAUGGACAAAAGGGGAAGAAAUUAACCACAUGAAGCUAGCCUCCAAGAAACAACAUAUUUCUGCCAUGGUCGUCCGUCAAUUGUGGAGGCCAUUCUAUCCAAAGGGUUGAAUGGUAAAUAGAAUAUUUUCUUGCCAUCGAUGUUAUGUGGCAGAAAUUGGACAUCAUUGAUUGGUAUGUCAUCCCAAAUUUCAAUUGGUAGGUAUACCUUGUUUCCAAUUUUGAAACUGUCUACCAUAGCCCUGUAAGUUAAUUUGAUAUACAUGUUUUAAAAACAAUGAUUAAAACAAAAGUACCUUAAACAAAAAAAAAAUUAGCAAUAACACAGAAAAAUGUACUUCACAAAAAAUUACCUGUCACAUGUAUCUAUAUUCUCCUUCUCAACUUUAUGUACAACUUCAUGUAUAGGCAUCUCAGGAUAUAAACUGAAAAAAAAGAGAAAAGAACUGUGUACUUGUUAGCACCAUGGCUUCUUUACGAAA